AUUAUUGUGUGUUUAUGACUCAUCCAUUCGUGUAAAUCACUUAUUCCCUUAUUAUUGCAUGUAAAUUAUUUAUUAUUGUGUGUAAGUGACUUAUUCUUUAAUGUAACUGGGAAAGUGAGUCUGUUGUAUUUCUUGUUUACUUGUUAUUCUUAACAUGUUUGUGUGUUCUAAUUCUUGUUGCAUUUUCUUAAGUGCAUUGGCUUAGUUGAUAAUGAAACAUUUCAGAUUCAUGGAUGAUAUUCGCUGGCAAAAUUACAUCGGUCUAAAACGAAAGAUAUCGCGUAGCAGGUUAUCGAAUGGAAGAUAGCAACAAGCAUCAAGGAUAACGGCGAAAGCAUAAUAUAAAGUCACGUUCUGACGCAAGGUGGCGCUGCUCUCAUGAAUAUUCGACAAUUUCCGUGAAAGCAACCGUAAAGAAAGUUUGUUUGUUAUGUCCCUUACUAGAAUAUUCGCCAUUUGUAGCGCAUUCAGCCAUCUAUUCUACUGGGAUGGAAUACACUCAGUUUGAAGUGAGGCCAUCUCCACACCUUGGUUGAGCAUUAAUGGUAGCCAGCCGAAUGUAACUUUAAACAUAGGACACGUGCUUCAGACCUUAAUUAGAUGCCCAAUGUUGUCCAAGAACAUUGCUACUGGAAUUAUGGAAUUUAAUCAUAAAUCACAAAUGCUUUCUUAUGGGAAUACUUGCACCAUCAAUUUGCUUCUGCAAAACUAAUGAUCUUGUGAACUAGGAAAAGCUGAAAAAUCACAUGGUCGGUAUAACUGCAGAAGCUGAAGGCUUUGGCCUAGUGUAGUAAAACAGGCAUUUUCGAAAGGACUGUACGAGGUCAUGAAUAAUUCCUCGAUCUGUUCAAUCUUGACCACAUUAGACCACUAGACUGUCAUGAUGUGUAUUUUCCAUUAAAAAAGAAAUAGUGGAUGUGAACUCUAAAGCUGCUCAGUGCUGUGAGUCUACACUGGAUAACAAACUUUCUUGUUUUUUCUGCGAGUGUAAAAAGAAUGGAAAUAAAAAGAUAUUUGAAAAUAA